rnacentral:rRNA from 1 species
UUUUCCACCGGAGCUUGCUCCACCGGAAAAAGAGGAGUGGCGAACGGGUGAGUAACACGUGGGUAACCUGCCCAUCAGAAGGGGAUAACACUUGGAAACAGGUGCUAAUACCGUAUAACAAUCGAAACCGCAUGGUUUUGAUUUGAAAGGCGCUUUCGGGUGUCGCUGAUGGAUGGACCCGCGGUGCAUUAGCUAGUUGGUGAGGUAACGGCUCACCAAGGCCACGAUGCAUAGCCGACCUGAGAGGGUGAUCGGCCACAUUGGGACUGAGACACGGCCCAAACUCCUACGGGAGGCAGCAGUAGGGAAUCUUCGGCAAUGGACGAAAGUCUGACCGAGCAACGCCGCGUGAGUGAAGAAGGUUUUCGGAUCGUAAAACUCUGUUGUUAGAGAAGAACAAGGAUGAGAGUAACUGUUCAUCCCUUGACGGUAUCUAACCAGAAAGCCACGGCUAACUACGUGCCAGCAGCCGCGGUAAUACGUAGGUGGCAAGCGUUGUCCGGAUUUAUUGGGCGUAAAGCGAGCGCAGGCGGUUUCUUAAGUCUGAUGUGAAAGCCCCCGGCUCAACCGGGGAGGGUCAUUGGAAACUGGGAGACUUGAGUGCAGAAGAGGAGAGUGGAAUUCCAUGUG